GAGCGGCGAACGGGUGAGUAACACGUGAGUAACCUGCCCCUGACUCUGGGAUAAGCCCGGGAAACUGGGUCUAAUACCGGAUAUGACACACGGUGGCAUCGCCUGUGUGUGGAAAGUUUUUCGGUUGGGGAUGGACUCGCGGCCUAUCAGCUUGUUGGUGGGGUAAUGGCCUACCAAGGCGACGACGGGUAGCCGGCCUGAGAGGGCGACCGGCCACACUGGGACUGAGACACGGCCCAGACUCCUACGGGAGGCAGCAGUGGGGAAUAUUGCGCAAUGGGCGAAAGCCUGACGCAGCGACGCCGCGUGGGGGAUGACGGCCUUCGGGUUGUAAACCUCUUUCAGCAGGGACGAAGUUGACGUGUACCUGCAGAAGAAGCGCCGGCUAACUACGUGCCAGCAGCCGCGGUAAUACGUAGGGCGCAAGCGUUGUCCGGAAUUAUUGGGCGUAAAGAGCUCGUAGGUGGCUUUGUCACGUCNGGGUGUGAAAGCUUGGGGCUUAACUCCAGGUCUGCAUUCGAUACGGGCUGGCUAGAGGUAGGUAGGGGAGAACGGANUUCCU
rnacentral:rRNA from 1 species